rnacentral:rRNA from 1 species
AGAGUUUGAUCAUGGCUCAGAUUGAACGCUGGCGGCAUGCCUUACACAUGCAAGUCGAACGGUAACGGGCCUUCGGGUGCCGACGAGUGGCGAACGGGUGAGUAAUGUAUCGGAACGUACCUUUCAGUGGGGGAUAACGUAGCGAAAGUUACGCUAAUACCGCAUAUUCUGUGAGCAGGAAGGCAGGGGAUCGCAAGACCUUGCGCUGAUUGAGCGGCCGAUAUCAGAUUAGCUAGUUGGUGAGGUAAAGGCUCACCAAGGCGACGAUCUGUAGCGGGUCUGAGAGGAUGAUCCGCCACACUGGAACUGAGACACGGUCCAGACUCCUACGGGAGGCAGCAGGUGGGGAAUUUUGGACAAUGGGGCAACCCUGAUCCAGCCAUGCCGCGUGAGUGAAGAAGGCCUUCGGGUUGUAAAGCUCUUUCGGCCGGGAAGAAAUCGUAUGGGUUAAUACCCUGUGCGGAUGACGGUACCGGCAUAAGAAGCACCGGCUAACUACGUG